rnacentral:rRNA from 1 species
UACGUAGGGGGCAAGCGUUAUCCGGAUUUACUGGGUGUAAAGGGAGCGUAGACGGUGAUGCAAGUCAGAAGUGAAAGCCCGGGGCUCAACUCCGGGACUGCUUUUGAAACUGUGUAGCUGGAGUGCAGGAGAGGUAAGCGGAAUUCCUAGUGUAGCGGUGAAAUGCGUAGAUAUUAGGAGGAACACCAGUGGCGAAGGCGGCUUACUGGACUGUAACUGACGUUGAGGCUCGAAAGCGUGGGGAGCAAACAGG